rnacentral:rRNA from 1 species
AACGAACGCUGGCGGCGUGCUUAACACAUGCAAGUUGAACGGGCAUACAUGGAAGCUUGCUGAAGUGUAUGUUAGUAGCGGACGGGUGAGUAAUGCAUGAGAAGCUGCCAUUGGGAGGGGGACAACAGUUGGAAACGGCUGCUAAUACCCCGUAUGCCGAAAGGUAAAAGGGAGCAAUCCGCCUGAUGAGGUGCUCAUGUCCUAUCAGCUAGUUGGCGGGGUAAUGGCCCACCAAGGCGACGAUCCGUAGCUGGUCUGAGAGGAUGAUCAGCCACACUGGAACUGAGACACGGUCCAGACUCCUACGGGAGGCAGCAGUAGGGAAUAUUGGACAAUGGGCGCAAGCCUGAUCCAGCCAUGCCGCGUGCAGGAUGAAGGCCUUCGGGUUGUAAACUGCUUUUGUACGGAACGAAAAGACUCUUUCUAAUACAGAGGGUCCAUGACGGUACCGUAAGAAUAAGCACCGGCUAACUACGUG